UCCGAAACCAAUCAUAAAUUACUCACAUUGUCCCUUUUAUGAGCCUUUGAGGCCCAAAAUAUGCAUUUGAAAUAAAUCAGGUGUAAUACCCUGAAAAUUACUACAGUAAGAAAGUAAUGUAUUAUCCUUAAUAUAGUAAAGUAAGGAAAUAAAGUGACAAAAAGGAAAAUUUUGAGUUAUGUCAACAUUAGGAAGUAUAUUAUGAUAUAUUAAUUCAAGAAAUGAUUAAAUCGCAAAAGUAAGAAAAGUUUUGUGGCCCAAGAGUAAACACUCAAAAUUUGAAGGGUUAAAGUGUAAAUAUGAAAAAGUUGAAGGACCAAUAGUGCUAAUAUUUUAAGGGUGGAAUGAUCUAGAAACUAAGGAAAAUGGAUGAAUUAAGACCAAAUAGAAUAGGUGAAAAAUUAUGAGGGACUAAAUCAUAAUUUUACCAAAUUAAGUGAUGACUGAAGAUAAAAUUUUAAAAGAUC
rnacentral:lncRNA from 1 species